GACAGGGGAUGCAAGCGUUACUCGGAAUUACUGGGCGUAAAGCGUCUGCAGGCUCCUCGUUAAGUCUGGUGUUAAAUGAUAGAGCUCAACUCUAUCCCUGUACCGGAAACUAGCGGGGUCGAGUCAAUCAGAGGCAUCUGGAAUGUCGUGUGUAGGGGUAAAAUCCGUAGAUCCACGAUGGAACGCCAAAAGCGAAGGCAGGAUGCUGGGGUUGUACUGACGCUCAGAGACGAAAGCGUGGGGAG
rnacentral:rRNA from 1 species